rnacentral:rRNA from 1 species
GGCUUCAAUCGACCCGUCUUGAAACACGGAAAAAGAAACUAACAAGGAUUCCCUUAGUAACUGCGAGUGAAGUGGGAAAAGCUCAAAUUUGAAAUCUGGCAGUCUUUUUUUCUCUUCUUUGGCUGUCUGAGUUGUAAUCUAGAGAAGUGCUUACCUGUGCUGGACCAUGUAUAAGUCUCCUGGAAUGGAGCGUCACAGAGGGUGAGAAUCCCGUCUUUGACAUGGACUGCCAGUAUGUUGUGGUGUGCUCUCAAAGAGUCGAGUUGUUUGGGAAUGCAGCUCUAAAUGGGUGGUAAACUCCAUCUAAAGCUAAAUAUUGGCGAGAGACCGAUAGCGAACAAGUACCGUGAGGGAAAGAUGAAAAGGACUUUGGAAAGAGAGUUAAACAGUAUGUGAAAUUGUUGAAAGGGAAACGCUUGAAGUCAGUUAUGUUGGCUGGGGAUCAGCCUGGCUUUUUGCUGGGUGAACUUCCUAGUCUGACAGGCCAACAUCAGUUCUGACUGCUGGAAAAGAGCAGAGGGAAUGUAGCACCUUUGGGUGUGUUWUAGCCUUUUGUCAUAUGUGGCAGUUGGGACUGAGGGAUGCAGCGUGCCAGGAAUGGCUGGGUUUCGACCACAAUUGCGCUUAGGAUGUUGGCUUUUUUUAAUGGCUUCAAUCGACCCGUCUUGAAACACGGAGUCAUA